UACGGAGGGUGCAAGCGUUAUCCGGAUUCACUGGGCUUAAAGGGUGCGUAGGUGGGAAGGUAAGUCAGUGGUGAAAUCCCCGAGCUUAACUUGGGAACUGCCAUUGAUACUAUCUUUCUUGAAUACCUUGGAGGUGAGCGGAAUAUGUCAUGUAGCGGUGAAAUGCUUAGAUAUGACAUAGAACACCAAUUGCGAAGGCAGCUCACUGGACGGUCAUUGACACUGAGGCACGAAAGCGUGGGGAUCAAACAGG
rnacentral:rRNA from 1 species